rnacentral:misc_RNA from 1 species
UACGGAGGGGGCCGGCGUUAAGCGGAAUUACCGGGCGUAAAGCGCACGCAGGCGGUCUGUCAAGUCGGAUGUGAAAUCCCCUAGCUCAACCUGGGAACUGCAUCCGAAACUGGCAGGCUAGAGUCUUGUAGAGGGGGGUAGAAUUCCAGGUGUAGCGGUGAAAUGCGUAGAGAUCUGGAGGAAUACCGGUGGCGAAGGCGGCCCCCUGGACAAAGACUGACGCUCAGGUGCGAAAUCGUGGGGAGCAAACAGG